UGACGAUCCAGAGGUCCGUGUGCCUCCGGUAGCUGCUUUCCUUCCCGCCGCCUCUGAGGACGCAGCCCCGGCCCCACAGGGCCGCCCCUCGCCAUCGCAGCGGCCACCGUGAGGGGCUGUGGUGCAGGCUCCGCCGGGGCUGCCAGGUGCUCUCGGCACCGCAUUAGGCCCAUUACGUUGGGUUAAUUAACACAGGAGAUCGGCUUAGGAGACUAAGUGGCUGCCUGGAAAGGCUUGGUGGUGCUUCAGGAGCAGCGCACGUUGCAGGAGGAUUUGUGGAGCGGCUCAAUUGGUGGCACAGGACAAGAAAAACAAUUCUGUGUGAAAUGGUAGCCAUCACAAUAACUGAACAGGAUCAGGCUGCUCAGAAACCCUGCUUGGCAGUGGCAGGCCUUUAAUUACUAAAUAAAUGGCUCCAGUGAGAGUCAGCUAUGGUCAAAACUCUCUGCUGACUUCUAUCUGCUUUCUUUCUGCCACCAGGAAACGGGGGGAGGCACCUGUUUCAUACAGCGCAGUAAGGUAUGACUUAGAGAACAUACAUUAAGAGCAUCAGUUCUCUCUGAAGUAGACUGGCAGGUAGCUAUGGGUGGAUAACUAAAUAUAGAAGGUGUGAAUACCACUUUCUGCUUAUCUCUUUCUUCUUCUCCCUGAUGCAUGUCAGUUCUUUUCUCUCCAGCGGUUAAGGGUCAGCUAAGACUCACCGUCAAGCUCAGCUGCUCAGCCCUUCUUGUGUUUUGUGGAGUUCAGAUUCCUUCAACCCAAGGAGAAGUGGGUAGGGCAGGCAGGUUCAGCACUAAGAUACACAGGAUUCACCACCACCACUGAACAAACCCCACACACCUACAACAGCUGCAUCGCACUACUCACUGAGAGUGAAGAGUGAAAAUCCAGGUGACCAUCUAGGCGCUGUGUGAUGCAGCCUUGAGGCCCCAGAUGUAUCUCAUGCAGGCACCAUGCUCUCUGUUGCUCCCUGCAUCACUCUUUAAAAACCGGGCAGAUAAAAUUUUCCAGUCCUGGGUUUAGAUGGCAGCAGAGUUAUGUCAGUUCUGUUGCUUUAGAUUUACUAUGGCACUUUUUUGUUUUGAUAGUCUUCAGUGAAAUAAAUCAAGCUCUCUUCUGCUUGUUUUAAUGCAGAAUUUGUGAUUACCUUAUGUAAGCACAUGAUUUGCAAACUCCAUCGAGAUGCAACUUAACCUGUAAUUCAAAUACCUGAUAAUUUACAUUAUGACCUGUUCACUUCCCUGAAAUAGAGACUAUCUAAAUAACCACGGAGUCCCCUUCUUUCCCAUGAAGAAUCAGCAAGUUCGGUCAACAGGCUCAAAGAACUGAACUGUAGCAGUGAAGGGAUUGAUCUCUGUGCUAGGAAAUGCAGUGUUAUGGAGUGCAGUAGUUACACUGACAGCAUUUACAAGGCUGUGGCCUGAGCUGUGUGACAAAAGCUUUUCCUCCAUCCUCUUUUAUCAACACAAAGACUGUUGCAGAACCUUGAACAAGCAUUGAUUUUCCUUGUAUUUGUGGCUUUAUUAACACUGUUUUCUUUCUGAAAUUACUUGUCAUAUAGCGAGAUGUAAAACGCCUCCCCCCCUUAAAAACAAACAAAAAAAACCAUCACACUGUAUUUGUCUUGCCACAGGUCCCACAGCACACAGAAUUGGAUAAUUUACAUAGCUAUUGUAAUGAACUACCAGGACUUCAUGAUCCUUAUGAUCUAAGUAACUGAUGGCUUUGCCUAGCUCAUUCAGAAAUGGAGGCUUUUACAAGUAAGCCACUAAAUUUAGUAUAUCUGAGAUGAGGCUCAAACCCACCUUUUUGCCUAGUGUCACUUGUUCUCACCUGUUCAACAAACAUAGGAAGAAAAACAUUAAGCAUAGCAACCAGGCCACAAAGAAACCAUCUGCCUAAAAACAGAACCAAAAUGAGAAGGAAAAAAAAAGUGAGCUGAAAAAGUCAGAUCAGCUAAAUGACAGAUAGUUGUAGCAGAAACUAGCUUUAAGCUCACGAGGUCUAGAUUUGAACAUUUCUAAGCAGUUAAGCUGUUACAAAACAUGCUCAUAAGAAAACUACAUAAAUGAACUUAAUUUUUGGUGCUCGAGUUUGUGCUCUUUGUACAACUGGUUAAGGCUGGUAGUAUGAAAGAUCCUCUUGAAAUGAGUCUACAGCCUUCCCACUACUGAAAGUAAUGGGUAUAUGUACACUUUCUGCAUUUAUUUACACCAGUUUUACUAAAGGGAGAUAAGAUCAUUAUAGGUAAGUGAAGAAUAUCCCUUCAGGGCAUUUCCAGCUUAUCAUAGAAGUAUUUCCUCUGGACUGGGUAAGAAGGUCAUGGAAGGAGAAAGGUUAUUCUGUUCACUUAAGACAAGGAAAAGAAUGAGUGAGCUUACUGUCCAGCUGCCUGGGAGGAGAUGCAAAAAUCCUGGUAGCUUACUUUUUUUGAGCUGCUAACGCAGAAAGUAAAAGCAGUUACAGUGAACUCUGACAAAGAGAUCUUUGGACGUGUGACCUGUUCAGUCUUAUUACAAACUUAUGUGUUUCCAACGCAGUAAGUGCUGAAGACCAGGCCUAAAAAUAGCAAAAAAAACACCAAACAAAAAAAAACAAACCACUAAACUGACAGGAAAUGUAAAAACUUUUCAAAUGUGAGACAGCAAACCUGAUGAAACACGUUUAUAUUCCCAGUUUGAUGGGCAUUUUAAACACCAAAUAGCAGCAUUGUCAUGGGGCAGUUAUAAUCUCUACGUCCCAAGGUAAACAUCCACAGACCAGAACAGUGGCUAGCUCAGAAUCUGCAGGGAAAUAAUACCUAUAAAUAAAUACCUUUCUAAAUCAGAACUAAAUAGAAUUAAAUUAAAGAUUAAAGUUUUGCUCAGCGUAUCUUACCUAUUACUCAGUCUUCUAAAAGCUUAUCUUUUGAUGAGGUCUUGUCCCUUCUUUGCAUAUGUAUCUAGUAAAAAGUUUUCCAUCACGGUACAAAAAA